GUAGGAGCUGCCGCAGGCUGCGAUCUUUUGAUUUUGAUUUCCAAGAUCAAAAGAUCGCAGCCUGCGGCAGCUCCUAC
rnacentral:misc_RNA from 1 species